rnacentral:siRNA from 1 species
AGAUGAUAGAUUAUGCGCUUACAG